rnacentral:misc_RNA from 1 species
GAUGAAGAACGAAGCGAAAUGCGAUAAUUAAUGUGAAUUGCAGAAUUCCGUGAAUCAUCGAGUUUUUGAACGCAUAUUGCGCCCCUUGGUAUUCCGAGGGGCAUGCCUGUCCGAGCGUCAUUGCAACCCUUCAAGCACGGCUUGUGUGUUGGACGGCCGCCCCAGUGUGGGCGGGUCCCAAAUGCAGUGGCGGCGCCGCGAUCCGGGUGCUCGAGUGCAUGGAAACCACGCGCUCGUUAGGCCCCGUCGGGCGCCGGCCGACCUAAUUAUCUUCGUUCUGGUUGACCUCGGAUCAGGGAGGAAUACCCGCUGAACUUAAGCAUAUCAAUAAGCGGAGGA